GACGAACGCUGGCGGCGUGCUUAACACAUGCAAGUCGAACGGAAAGGCCCCUUUGGGGGUACUCGAGUGGCGAACGGGUGAGUAACACGUGAGUAACCUGCCCUUGACUUCGGGAUAACUUCAGGAAACUGGGGCUAAUACCGGAUAGGAAUCCUUGCUGCAUGGUGGGGGUUGGAAAGCUUCGGCGGUUGUGGAUGGACUCGCGGCUUAUCAGCUUGUUGGUGGGGUAGUGGCUUACCAAGGCUUUGACGGGUAGCCGGCCUGAGAGGGCGACCGGCCACAUUGGGACUGAGAUACGGCCCAGACUCCUACGGGAGGCAGCAGUGGGGAAUAUUGCACAAUGGGCGGAAGCCUGAUGCAGCAACGCCGCGUGCGGGAUGACGGCCUUCGGGUUGUAAACCGCUUUCAGCAGGGGCGAAGCUUGUGGUGACGGUACCUGCAGAAGAAGCACCGGCUAACUACGUG
rnacentral:rRNA from 1 species